CAGUCGUGCUGGCGCGAAAUCAGCUCGACCACUGGGGGAUCACGGGCCGUAGCGAGCCUCAAAACCGUUACGACUUGUGAUUGCUUGGUGGCCUGGUGCACUUUCGUGUCGGCUGGUUAACAUCAAUUUCGAUCGUCAUAAAAAGGCUGGAGGGAUGUGGCUCCUUCGGGAGUGUUAUAACCUUUGGCGGAAUGUGGUGGUCGGGAUUGAGGCUUGCAACGAAUACCUUCAGGGCUGUUCCACCUGGCCUCUCGUCGGCAUCCUGGCGACCGACAGCUUGCUGACGUUGUUAGGAUCAGCUUUCGAACAGGCUAGAGUGUGAGCAAA
rnacentral:rRNA from 1 species